rnacentral:rRNA from 1 species
CGGGUGAGUAACACGUAUCCAACCUGCCGUCUACUCUUGGACAGCCUUCUGAAAGGAAGAUUAAUACAAGAUGGCAUCAUGAGUCCGCAUGUUCACAUGAUUAAAGGUAUUCCGGUAGACGAUGGGGAUGCGUUCCAUUAGAUAGCAGGCGGGGUAACGGCCCACCUAGUCUUCGAUGGAUAGGGGUUCUGAGAGGAAGGUCCCCCGCAUUGGAACUGAGACACGGUCCAA